rnacentral:rRNA from 1 species
UACGUAGGGGGGCAAGCGUUGUCCGGAUCAUUGGGCGUAAAGAGCGUGUAGGCGGCCAGGUAGGUCGGUUGUGAAAACUGGAGGCUCAACCUUCAGAGGUCGACCGAAACCAUCUGGCUAGAGUCCGGGAGAGGAGAGUGGAAUUCCCGGUGUAGCGGUGAAAUGCGCAGAUAUCGGGAGGAACACCAAUGGCGAAGGCAGCUCGCUGGGACGUUACGUGACGCUGAGACGCGAAAGCGUGGGGAGCGA